rnacentral:rRNA from 1 species
GUAGGUGGCAAGCGUUGUCCGGGAAUUAUUGGGGCGUAAAGCGCGCGCAGGCGGUUCUUUAAGUCUGAUGUGAAAGCCCACGGGCUCAACCGUGGAGGGUCAUUGGAAACUGGAGAACUUGAGUACAGAAGAGGAAAGCGGAAUUCCACGUGUAGCGGUGAAAUGCGUAGAGAUGUGGAGGAACACCAGUGGCGAAGGCGGCUUUCUGGUCUGUAACUGACGCUGAGGCGCGAAAGCGUGGUGAGCAAACAGGAUUAGAUACCCUGGUAGUCCACGCCGUAAACGAUGAGUGCUAAGUGUUAGGGGGUUUCCGCCCCUUAGUGCUGCAGCUAACGCAUUAAGCACUCCGCCUGGGGAGUACGGCCGCAAAGGCUG